UUCUUCUCCAUCCUGCACAGGUAUACAUUCUUGUCACUCCAUUACCACCUUCAGUCAUGAUAGGAUCGAUUCUGAUGGAAUUGGCUAAAGAAGAAGCAAAUGAGAAAAAAGCUGCGGGAGCUGUAAAAUAAUUUCCGACUCCUCAGGAGAGGUAAGUAAAUGCAAUGAUAUUAAAUAACAUCUGGAAAGGUAAAGAAAUGGACGCUUUUGCAGAGA
rnacentral:lncRNA from 1 species